rnacentral:lncRNA from 12 species
AGAGCAUGUUACUACAAUACUGAAAUGGAUAAUGGCCACCUUUUGGUGACAGAACUGAGUUCAUGCCCACAGCUCUCUCCUGACUAUCCUGCUGCUGCUAACUGGAUAUUGUAUGCCACCCAGAUCAAACAGCUUCCAUCAAACAAUGAUCUCUUCUCCUUCACGGAACUCACUGAAUCUGAGGGAAAUUGAGACAUUUAUCAGCAAGACCUCUGUUAUCAUCUCACAAGAUGGUAGAGAAGCAGCAAGAUGAAAGUUAUGUCCUGGGUGCCUUUGAUGGGCUACAUGUUGUUGAAGGACAGUGUUAUUUGCAGAUCUGCAGUCUACUCAAGUGCCCAAGCACAAACCUGAGCACAUGUGGGCAGCCUGUGGAGACGGCUCAGACCAAGUUUGAGAUGUUCUCCCUCAGUGGCACGUUUGGCACCAGCUACGUCUUCCCAGAAGUGUUGUACAGCGGGGUGCAGCUGGCCCCCGGGGAGUUCGAGGUGCUAAGUGACGGACGUCUGACAAGUCAGAAUACUACGUCAAAGCCAGUUUUGAGUGUAACACUCUUUGGGAGGUGGUAUGAGAAGGACCCUCCACAGACACAUCAAGCUUCAGCAUGAUUUCACGGCAGAUCCUUCAAGCUUUCAUCUGCUUGUUUCUGUAACACUAAUUAAUUAGAAAUAAUGGUAAUUAAUACUAAUAUUCAUUAUUAAAAUGGCAUUAUAUUUCUCAAUUUGCCUUAUCUAACAGCACAGUCACUGCACAUUGAUGUAUUGACUUAGUUUUGCAGCAAAUUCAAUACUCUGAUGGACUUUUGUGAAUGAGUUUUUAUAUGAUAACUUUGGUUGGCUUAGGCUUGGCCUUAACACUGAGAAAAAUAGAAAAUAAAUUCCUCUUAUUUUAGUGGUGUAGGAUUCAAUGAGUUGUGCCCCAAUAAAAGCCAGUUUUCAAAUAUUUGAAAUUUUUGUUGGAGUAUGAGCAGCCAUGGAACACUAUUCCCACCUCAUUUCUGAACAGGCACUUUUGUAAACAAGAGAUUACCACGACCUUUGGAGAUUCUAAUUUCCUUUGAAAAUGAAAACAAGCCUCAAAACGAUGUACCAUCAAAAAACAGUUAUUCAGCUCAACAUAUUUUAAUGUUAUCAUACAUUAGUAGGUGCUUCCUGAAGGUGGAGUCUACUUUAAUCUUUCUGCCCACAUUUUUCAGACUCUGAAAAUCUCCCUAGCACAGAAUGCUUUGUGUCUCAAAUGCUCAAAACAAGCAGUUUCUCAGGAGCUUGUCUGUCUUGCCAGGGAGUGGUUGCUCCUGCCGGUGCGAGCACAGUCGGGGCUGUGCAGCAGGUGUUGGCUGAGGGGAGUGCACAGCUGGAGCAGGUGGGACACGCUGAACCAAAACAUUCACCAGCAUCAUUCCCGCACUGUGCAGAUGUGGGCCCCGCAGACUGUUCUUCUUAGGCAAGUGCACCGGAUUACUCUGUGUUUGCCAGCUAAGAUUGCUAUGUGUGCCUAAUGCUGCUGUUUGUUCUGCAGGUUUGUUUUGAAGCACAAACAUUGUUUACGUUUUAUCUGACCAACGUCAUUAAAAAAAUACAGAUUCGGAGGAGGCAAAACACAUUGGGGUUUU